rnacentral:rRNA from 1 species
UACGUAGGGUGCAAGCGUUGUCCGGAAUUAUUGGGCGUAAAGCGCACGUAGGCGGCUUCUUAAGUCAGGGGUGAAAUCCUGGAGCUCAACUCCAGAACUGCCUUUGAUACUGAGUAGCUUGAGUCCGGGAGAGGUGAGUGGAACUGCGAGUAUAGAGGUGAAAUUCGUAGAUAUUCGCAAGAACACCAGUGGCGAAGGCGGCUCACUGGCCCGAUACUGACGCUGAGGCACGAAAGCGUGGGGAGCAAACAGG